rnacentral:ncRNA from 1 species
AAUAUAGCGAUGACGAGGACUGUUUUGCAAGGUAAAAGGAGAAACAGAGAGUUUUUGGUCGGUGAAAAAAAACAACUCUUUCUUGUAAAUGUAUCCCCUCGGAGCUAAGAAGCUGAACAGAAUCGGUAAGCUUUUUCGGUUGACCUCGUUAUCGGUUGUAAAGUGGCAGUUAUUCGAAACUUUUUGUAUCAAGUUUUGUCGAAGAGAUAGCUGCAAUAAGGGUGGUACCACGGAAUAUUCGUCCCUGCA